GUGGGGAAUAUUGGACAAUGGGCGCAAGCCUGAUCCAGCCAUGCCGCGUGAGUGAUGAAGGCCUUAGGGUUGUAAAGCUCUUUCAGUGGGGACGAUAAUGACGGUACCCACAGAAGAAGCCCCGGCUAACUUCGUGCCAGCAGCCGCGGUAAUACGAAGGGGGCUAGCGUUGUUCGGAUUUACUGGGCGUAAAGCGCACGUAGGCGGAUCGUUAAGUCGGGGGUGAAAUCCUGGAGCUCAACUCCAGAACUGCCUUCGAUACUGGCGAUCUUGGGUCCGGAAGAGGUGAGUGGAACUCCUAGUGUAGAGGUGGAAUUCGUAGAUAUUAGGAAGAACACCAGUGCGAAGGCGGCUCACUGGUCCGGUACUGACGCUGAGGUGCGAAAGCGUGGGGAGCAAACAGGAUUAGAUACCCGAGUAGUCC
rnacentral:rRNA from 1 species